UUCUACAAAAGAAAAUUGUAACGUUGACUUGGGACUUUGCAUUGGUUUGUAUUUGGAAACGUUUUUGCUAAGUUGUGGAAACCCUCACCCCGUUCUCCUGUCUUCUUCUUUCAGUUGGUAGCAGCGAUCGUGUUUAUCAGCUUUGGCGUGGUGGCAGCGUUUUGUUGUGCCAUAGUCGAUGGUGUGUUUGCUGCUCGACAUAUAGAACCAAGGCCGCUCACCACUGGAAGAUGCCAGUUUUACUCAAGUGGGAUAGGAUAUUUAUACGAUGUCUACCAAACAGAGGUCACCUGUCACUCCUUGAAUGGCAAGUGCCAGCUGAAGGUGAAGAGCAACACCUGUUACUGCUGUGACCUGUACAACUGUGAUAACACAGAGCACUCUACAAGUUACUAUGAGUUCGUUGGUGUGAGUGGCUGUGAGGAUGUGAUCCACCUUUACCGGCUGCUGUGGACAUCGACGGUGCUGAACAUCAUUGGCUUGUUCCUAGGCAUCGUCACAGCAGCGAUACUGGGAGCCUUCAAGGAUAUGGUGAGUUGAAGGACUCUUUCUCUUCACUGUAUUAAGUAAUAACAUCACUGUCAUUUCUAGCACACUUGACAAUGGACAAGGGGCUUUGAGGUCCAUUUCUCUGUGAGUCGGGCAAGGCAGGUCUUAGCAUCCUCAUUUUACAAGAAAGGAGUUUGAGGCUCAUAGAUACUAUUUGUAAUGUAUUGUUUGCUGAUUAUUCACUAUGGAAGCUGGGUCUGUUUUAAGCACUUUACAACUAUUAAUUACUUUAAUCCUCUCAACUACUCUAUAGGAGCCCUGGUGGUGCAGUGGUUAAGAGUUUGGCUGCUAACCAA